CUGAAAGGCGGCACCGCUUGCAGCCGAGAAGGGUGGCAGCGCACCCGGGACCGGGGGGGCUCGAGCCUGCCGGCUCUGCGCGCCCGGGUGGGCUCUUCCCGGUCACCGACAGGAGAGCGUAGGCGAGCAGAUGCCCCAGGGAUAGGAUCGCCACCAUUUUCCGUGGAAAACUAUUUCACAGCCCGGUGAGUCUCACUAUUAAGAAAGCCCCUUGAUAGCCAGGCUAUCAAGAAUGCACCCUUGCUUCGCCGGCUGAACGAGCCACCGGUAACAUCUUCUGUAUUUUGCCUGGUAGCCUCACUUUGCAUUUGAUGUUCGUUGCUCAGUCGGUGGAAAGCUUAUUUUUCUCUCACCUCCCUCCUCUAUCACAGAUCCAAUAACCGCAUUUUAGAGGGAAGCAGAAUAGUAUGUAUUACAGCACAGUGGGUGCCUAAAUGCUCCUCAGACUAUUGACGAACGAUAAUCCAAUCCCUUCUCACUGACGUGCGGUAAGAAUCACUCCUCUCUCACCAACUUGUUGCCCUUUACUGAACUUAUCACAGUGCCUGCACAUAAGCCCCAAAACUUAAAAGCUUUGUAAAAGAAAUAUAGCCGAGCCAUACAAGCAUAGAGCUGUAGGCGACAAAGUCUCAGCCUUUUAAUUUUCACGCUGACUUGUUUGGCACUGCUGGGCAAGUUAUUUCAGUGCUUUCUGCUUCUUUAACAAAAAAGAACAGUAUAAUAAAAUUACUGAUCACAUGGCUCAGGCUGUUAGGCUCAAGCAAGCUUUAUCAAAGUAUUUUUACUCUUCAAAGAUGGAAAGUGCAAUAAUGUUUUAGUAAAGAACAAUAAAUGUAAAAACUAUUAUUCUGCUUUACCUGCAUACUCCCACAUCUUUCUUUUCAAGAUUAAAGUCUGAAAAAGUAUGGCAGAGCAUGUACUUAAAAAUAAAAAAUAUGCAACAAUGACAUUAGGAUAUAUAAUAAGAAAAUGGGCUAUUUCGAUUUCCAAGCCAAAAUUUUCUUACUGUGAACAGUGGCAAAUUUUCAUUUUUUAUGAGAUACUCCAAAAUACAGUGUGUUUCAGAGCAGGAACUGGGGUCUUUUUCUCAUCUGACAUUCUCUAGAGCUUUUAAUCUGUAUUAGCAACCGUACUUAAUCUCCUGUUCAAGAAUCUGCAGGGUCUCUCAAAAGUAUAGUAGUUCUGCUCCGUGAUAUUAGUUUUGUUAUGUUUCAUAUCAUUUGUUUUUUCAUUUAUUUGUUUAAAGGUUAUGAAAGGAUGUAGCCAUUUCAUACACUUUGAGUGUAAAGGAGUAUUUCAGUUAAAAACCUACAAUGUUUUUUGCAAAUGGUAUUUGGAAAUCACUUCCUUUUAUCCUUCAAAAAUAGGAAUAGAAGGAAACUGCAAGAGACUGUCCCCUACCAAACACGUUGUGGGAAUGAACCUGGCGAUAUGUUUGCUUACAGUAUCACAAUCAUAUCACGACAACGUUCUGAUCUCAGUCCUGUGAGCCAUACUCAAUGUCACAUGAAGACAGAACAGGAUUAAAAACCUGUUUUGACCCUCUUCAGCACUCUACAUGCAGGAAAAGCUUUGUGAUAGAUAUAGGAACUCUGAGUAGUGGAAGACAAAAGACAGUGAGGAAAGGAAGGGGAGAAGGAUUUGAGCCACACUCCUCUUAAGUGUUACGUAAAAAUUUUGUAGCGCUCAUUCACAGUAAGAUUCAAUUUCAAGACUUGUAGUUUGGUCUUACAGACAGAUAUCUAAUUACUUCUGAAAAUAAAUGCCAUUGGGAAGGACUAUAUUUCAAAUGGAAUUGAGUUUGUAACAAAUGCCGAAGCUUAACAGCAGUGUUUGACACCCUUUUGUCUGCAGUUGUUCAGAAAAGAAGGUGCAGGUAUCUGAAACAUACAUUAAGAAGAAGGCACAACAUCUGCUGUGGCAGGUACACCACUGGGAAAUUGGAAAAACAUGAAAAAGUACUUGAGCAAAAGUAUUCCUUUCCAUGAAACAAGACUUGGGGAAUGAAAUCUUCUUGGGACUUAGCAAUGUAAAAAGCCAUUAAAAAAUGACCCAGGAUAAAGCAAGCAAGCUUUGUUUGCUCCAUGAGUAGUCUUUAAUGGCACGAGAAAUAUUUGGAGAUGGAAUAUUUUGUUGCCACCUGUCUCCAUUUUACGAGGAAAUUGGGAACGCAUUGCAACAAAAGAAGAAAUCCUUCAUCCUUUAUUCAGGACUUUUAUAGAGAGUUUAAGCCUAGUAAGGACCAGAGAGCUCUAUUCAGUGAGUUAUCAUUUGCUUCAAUCACGGGCAAUUUACCAGAUUACUUUGCACUAUCUCUGAAUAGCUAUAACAUUCCAAAGAAUGGAAAUCAAAUCAUCUUUUCAGGACUCUAUUUAUAAUCUCUCGUGUGCUCCUCUCUGUCAUGCUGUCGACUCAUCCUGGUUUCAGCUGAAUCUCAGAAUAAAAAAAGAUUCACAGGAGAUCUUGCUUAGGUAAACCUUUCCUGAGGGGGAUCUUAAGAAAUUAAGAUUGCGUGGAUUCUCCUUUGAGAUUGUCCGUUACACAGACAUAUGUAAUGGGAUAUAAGUUUGGAAAUAUCGAACAAGCAGUGUCCAGUAGUCAGGACUGGUACUACCUUGAACUUGAACAGAUAAGGAGAUACAGCCCACAUUGCUAGCAUUUUGCAAUGUUAUUAAAGAUGACCCUACCAUUAUCAUUUCAAAACGUGUAAUAAUUAUGUUUUAGAAUUAAAUAGUUAAUGCUCGGUGCUGUUAUCAGCACAACUAUCUGGAGAUUGUUUUCCACACUACAAAAGAUAACAUCAGUGCAACUUGAAGCGGGAUCAGAGAGUAGAUUUCUUAGAUGACAUUAAAUGGGACUUCCCUCCUAAUAUUUCAAAAUUAUCUUCCCAUCACAUCUAGCCAUUAGCUUCCAUAACAUUUUUCCCAUUGAGCUAAGGUUACAGUAGAUAGUUUUUCUAAUCCUAAUAAUUGUGUGAAACUCGCAGGCUGAUGAUACCGUAAGCCAGGAAUCUGCAGGAUCAUUCAGGCUGUAAAUUGCUUCCAUCUUGAGCAAAAGUGGCAAAUCAUCUCACUGUGCUGGGCGAUGUAUAGCUCUGCCCUAAACCCAGGCAUUUAUUAACACAUUUGUAGAUAAGCUUUAGGAGCAUAUGAACGCAGAAUGGCUUGAUUACGGUCACAUGGGAAGUCCAUCAGGAACGUUAUUUGCUCAUAAAUCUCCCUAGUCCUCACACACAAUUCUAGCUUUAGAAGUAUGUUUUCCUGUUACACAUCCAAGAAUGAUCUCAUAAACUACACUACCAUAUCAUCAUUGUAAUUUCACUUAAGAGC